rnacentral:tRNA from 1 species
AGUGGUUAAGUGCUUGGCUGCUAACCAAAAGGUUGGUGGUUCAAACCCACCAGCCACUC